UUUUUUUUAUCGCCCUUACCAGAAGCGGAAGCGGAUGCCGUUGCAAUUUUGAACAGUACCCUCUUCUUCCUCUCCUGGCGAUUUCGAUUUCUCCUGUGAUUCUCCGACGAUUUUUCUCCAACGCAACGUGAUAACAAAUUCCAUUACGUGACUCAGGCAGUAUGGAUGAUUUUGAGGAACAUGGUAUUAGUUAUCGUGAAGACUCGGACUGUAGCGAGGCAAAUUGUGCAAUUUCAGAUUAUGUUCCAAGCAAGGAUGCCACUGGUUUCAGUUCAAGGCCAUUUUCAAUGAUCCUAAUGUUCUGCUAGCGAAAGUGCAAGUUGGCAAUCCCCUUUUAUAAAACAAAUACAAUGUUCUCUUUUUUUCCCACAUCAUGUUUUUAUUGUGCAAUUCAACUAUUUUUAUCAACAUUUUUUCAACCUGUCAAUUCGCCAUCUACAAAAAUGACGAGCUGAUGAACUCCAUAGCGCAAACCUGAAAUCUAGCAAGUGUGUCACAUUUUACUUUAACUUUAUGGUUUUUUUAUCUUGCAUUUUUUUUAAUUCAGUACAAAUGAGUGAGAAAGCUACAGCUUUUGUCAUUUCAAA